AAUUGUGCUCGGCAUGAUACCGCCGUUAUCGGGUCAAAAACCUAAAUGCAAACGAUAACGUUGCAUUGAACGAAGUGCGCCUCGCGGCGUAACCUGUUCGGGGUUGGUCCACCUGGCAACAGAACGGCCAUCGCC
rnacentral:tmRNA from 1 species